GUGCUUGCUUCAGCAGCACAUAUACUAAAAUUGGAACAAUAUGGAGAAGAUUAGCAUGGCCCCCGUGCAAAAAUGACACACACAUUUGUGAAGUGUCCCAUAUUUAA
ensembl:snRNA U6 U6 spliceosomal RNA